rnacentral:tRNA from 1 species
GGGGCCUUAGCUCAGCUGGGAGAGCACCCGCUUUGCAAGCGGGGGGUCAUCGGUUCGAGUCCGAUAGGCUCCACCA